GCCUGGGUGGCUCAGUCGGUUGAGCGUCAGGCUUCAGCUCAGGUCAUGAUCUUGUGGUCUGUGAGUUCGAGCCCCGCAUCAGGCU
rnacentral:tRNA from 1 species